GGGAGGUUAGUGUAGUGGUUAGCAUGCCACCCUUCCAAGGUGGCGACAUGGGUUCGAAUCCCGUACCUCUCA
rfam:Pichia kudriavzevii strain SD108 scaffold00035, whole genome shotgun sequence.